AUUGAACGCUGGCGGCAGGCCUAACACAUGCAAGUCGAACGGUAGCACAGAGAGCUUGCUCUCGGGUGGCGAGUGGCGGACGGGUGAGUAAUGUCUGGGAAACUGCCCGAUGGAGGGGGAUAACUACUGGAAACGGUAGCUAAUACCGCAUAAUGUCGCAAGACCAAAGAGGGGGACCUUCAGGCCUCUUGCCAUCGGAUGUGCCCAGAUGGGAUUAGCUUGUUGGUGAGGUAAUGGCUCACCAAGGCGACGAUCCCUAGCUGGUCUGAGAGGAUGACCAGCAACACUGGAACUGAGCCACGGUCCAGACUCCUACGGGAGGGAGCAGUGGGGAAUAUUGCACAAUGGGCGGAAGCCUGAUGCAGCCAUGCCGCGUGUGUGAAGAAGGCCUUCGGGGUGUAAAGCAGUUCCAGCGGGGAGGAAGGCGAUACGGUUGAUAACCGUGUUGAUUGACGUUACUGGCAGAAGAAGCACCGGCUAACUACGUG
rnacentral:rRNA from 1 species